rnacentral:rRNA from 1 species
CGUUCCCGGGCCUUGUACACACCGCCCGUCACACCACGAAAGUCGGUUAACACCCGAAGCCAGUGGCCAACCCGCAAGGGGGGAGCUGUCGAAGGUGGGAUCGGCGAUUGGGGUG